GAUCAUUAAAAACGGAGUACUCGUACUCUACAACCCUUUGUGAACGUACCCGCGUCUAGUUGCUUCGGCGGGAGGCCCCUGGGAGGGGCCCCGGGGCCCGGCCAGAGCCGGGCUCCCGCCGGAGGAGCGCAAACAAAACUCUCUGCUGUACCCCAGUGGCACCUCCGAGUAGAAAAACAAAAACAAGUUAAAACUUUCAACAACGGAUCUCUUGGUUCUGGCAUCGAUGAAGAACGCAGCGAAAUGCGAUAAGUAAUGUGAAUUGCAGAAUUCAGUGAAUCAUCGAAUCUUUGAACGCACAUUGCGCCCGCCAGCAUUCUGGCGGGCAUGCCUGUUCGAGCGUCAUUUCAACCCCUCAGGCCCUGGUGCCUGGCGUCGGGGCGUUCCCCUCACCGGGAAGCCCCCAGAGACAGUGGCGGGCCCGCCGCGGCUCCGAGCGCAGUAGCAAAAUUCUCGCUCAGGAGGUCCGCGGGGGGGGUCUCCCGGCCGUAAAACAGGAAAGGUCCCGCCUCGGCGGACCGCACCCAACAAAGGUUGACCUCGGAUCAGGUAGGAAUACCCGCUGAACUUAAGCAUAUCAAUAAGCGGAGGAAAAGAAACCAACAGGGAUUGCCCCAGUAACGGCGAGUGAAGCGGCAACAGCUCAGAUUUGAAAUCUGGCCCCCAGGGCCCGAGUUGUAAUCUGUAGAGGAUGCUUCUGGCGAGGCGCCGUCCGAGUUCCCUGGAACGGGACGCCACAGAGGGUGAGAGCCCCGUACAGGCGGACGCCGAGCCGAUGUGAAGCUCCUUCGACGAGUCGAGUAGUUUGGGAAUGCUGCUCAAAGCGGGAGGUAAAUUUCUUCUAAAGCUAAAUAUAGGCCAGAGACCGAUAGCGCACAAGUAGAGUGAUCGAAAGAUGAAAAGCACUUUGAAAAGAGGGUUAAAAAGCACGUGAAAUUGUUGAAAGGGAAGCGCCUGUGACCAGACUCGCGCCCGGCGGAUCAUCCGGCGUUCUCGCCGGUGCACUCCGCCGGGCUCGGGCCAGCAUCGGUUCCAGCGGGGGGAUAAAGGCGGCGGGGAUGUGGCUCCCCCGGGAGUUAAAGGCCCGCCGCUCAAUGCCCUCGCCGGGACCGAGGACCGCGC
rnacentral:rRNA from 1 species